rnacentral:lncRNA from 1 species
UGGUGGUGGGGUCCUUAGAUUUAAUGUAUAUCUAUUACGUGUUCUGUGCUCUGCCAGCCUUAUUGCAUUUGGCUGAUCUAACAUCUCUACAAGUCAAACACUUUCUUUCCCUUUCAUAGAUUGGGAAAUGGCCACUGGAGAGGUUACACAUUUCCUUCAAGGUCAAGGACUGGGACCAGAGGAACAGCACCAUAUCCAAGGAUCCCAAAGCAUCCUCAGAGACCACUUAGUCAAACUUUUCGACUGGCUGCUGAGAACUAAGAGCUAAGAGUUAGCAGACGGACCAGAAUGAAGACCCACAUGUCCGCAUCCCAGACCUGACAUCGCCCCGCUAAUCUCCCUCACUGUUGCUGCUGUCCGCAGCCUCCUCAGCCUUCUGCAUCGUUGUGUCCACAAGGAAGCAA